rnacentral:lncRNA from 1 species
UGAGACCCCAAUUUUUGUCUAUACAAAAAAUUUAAAAAAUUAACUGAGUAUGGUGGUGCACACUGGUGGUAUCAGCUACUGGGGAGGCUAAGGCAGGGGUUUGGCGGGGAUUACUUGAGCCCAGUGGUUUGAGGCCACAGUGAGCUAUGGUUGUGCCAUUGCACUCCAACCUGCGUGACAGAGUGAGACCUUACCUCAAAAAAUAAAUAUUUUUGGUUUUCCUUAGCAUCAAUGUCUACAAGAAAAUGCUAGGUUUCUUUUAAAAAAUGCCUUAUUCCUUGUUUUAAAAGUAAGAGAUUAAAUCAAGAAUAACAGGAUUCAGUAAUCCCCCACUUCUCUCAGAGAUAGAUUGAGGGGAGUUGAUAAAGGAACAAGGGAACUCCAGAGAUGAGGAAAUAAUAGUGGGUAUAGUCAUUAUGGUAAUAGCAAAUGAGAUACCCCUUCACCCAAUUCCAUAAUAUCAGUAGGGUCUUUUUGACUUCUGAGAAUAAGUCCCUAGUUACCUGCCCUGAAAGAUGUCAUUAUGUUUUUAAAACCAGAUAUGUAUACAUAGAUAAAUCAUAUGCUUGCCUUGAUUUUGGUAAAAUUUAAACCACUUUUUAAAUCUUUGGUGCAUUUUAAAAACAUUUUAUGAAACAGAUGCAGACCUUGGAUUCUGAUUGUUGAGAUACCAUGUCAGUAAUUGUAUUAGUUUCCUAUGGCUGUUAUAGUAAACCACAAAUUUAGUAGAUUAAAACAAUAUAAACGUAUCCUGUCACACUUCCUGAGUUCAGAGCUCAAAAUCAGCUUUACUGGGCCAAAAUACAAUUCCUGGUUCCUUCUAGAGGCUCCAGGGAAGAAUUCUUUCCUUGCUUCUUUUAGCUUCUGGUGGCUGCCAGCAUUCUUUGCCAGCAUAAUAAUUCAAGUCCCUACUUCCAUCAUCACAUUGCUUUUCCUUCUGUGAUGGUAUUUCCUUCUGACUUCCUCUUACAAGGACACUUGUGAUUACAUCAUUGGGCCCACUUGGGUAAUCUCCCAAUCUCAAAAUCCUUAAGUACUUUUGCAAAGUCCCUUUUGCCAUGCAAAGUAACAUACAAGUUCCAGGGAUUAGGAUGUGGACAUUUUAGGGGCCUUUAUUCAGUCUACACAGCAAUCCUCUCAAAUUCACUUUUUUUUUUCUUUUUUUAAUACAGGGUUUUGCUGUGUCACCCAGGCUGAAGUGCAGUGGCGUGGUCUUGGCUCACUGCAACCUCCACCUCCUGGGUUCAAGCGAUUCUCCUGCUCAGUCUCUCG